CAAUAUAAGUGAUGGCGACCGGCGCACGGGUGAGUAACACGUAUCCAACCUGCCGAUAACUCGGGGAUAGCCUUUCGAAAGAAAGAUUAAUACCCGAUGGUAUAAUAAAACCGCAUGGUUUAAUUAUUAAAGAAUUUCGGUUAUCGAUGGGGAUGCGUUCCAUUAGGCAGUUGGUGAGGUAACGGCUCACCAAACCUUCGAUGGAUAGGGGUUCUGAGAGGAAGGUCCCCCACAUUGGAACUGAGACACGGUCCAA
rnacentral:rRNA from 1 species